CGCCUGUUUAACAAAAACAUGUCCUUUAGGUUUUAUUUAAGGUUUAGUCUGCCCAAUGAUUUAUUUAAUGGCCGCGGUAUAUUAACUGUGCUAAGGUAGCAUAAUCAAUUGUCUUUUAAUUAAGGGCUAGAAUGAAUGGCUGGACGAGAAAUUAACUUUCUUUAUUUAAAAUGAAUGAAUUUAAUUUUUUGGUUAAAAAGCUAAAAUUUUAUAAAGGGACGAGAAGACCCUGUAGAAUUUUAUAUAUAAUAAUAUUUUAAUAUUUUUGUUUAUUUAAUUUUAAAUUAUUUAAUAUAUUUUGUUGGGGCGAUGAUGGAAUUUUAGGAACUUCCAUUUAUAUUUUACAUAAAUUAAUGUAUUAUUUGAUCCCCUAAUUAAGGAUUAAAAGAUUAAGUUACCUUAGGGAUAACAGCGUAAUUUUAUUGGAGAGUUCAUAUCGAUAAUGAAGUUUGCGACCUCGAUGUUGGAUUAAAAAAAGUAAUGGGUGUAGGAGCUCAUUUACUAGGUCUGUUCGACCUUUAAUUUUUUACAUGAUCUGAGUUC
rnacentral:rRNA from 1 species